GGGAUGGGAGCACUGGGGCUGCUCCAGGCUCAGGGAGCCACUGGGAGUAGAUUUGAUCUCAACUCGAGGGGCAAGAAAUCACAGCAGGCAGGGUGGUCUGUGCCUUGUCCUGCUCCCAGGGCAUUCUCCAUGCCUGCUGCAGGUGCUCAGUACAUCACAAUGCUUUGGAGCAGCACUGUGAGAGCCUGGAGGGCCCCUCUGCUCCAGCCAGCCCUGCUGAGCACAAGGGUCCAUCUGGCAGGGCUGAUGAGGGGCGUUCUCCUCUUCUUCAUCUCCCUUUCUCUGUAACAAAGGCCCUGCUGAGCCACCAAGGUCAGGGAAUUCUCACUGUGGGAGCUGGUUGGAGCUCUGGGCUCUUGGCAGCUCUGAAAGGUUGAGCAUGACGUGUCCCUGGAUGAUAAGGGCAGUGUUUCAGUUGAAAGCUGAACUGGGUGAUCUUGGAGGUCUUUUCCAACCUUUACCAUUCUGUGCUGCAAGUCAAUAUUUCCAGGUAGGCUUCUUACCUAGAAAGACCACAGAUGACAGGAGGUGGAGGCUCUGUCCAGUUAAUCCAGAGCUGUGAACAUGGAGAUCGUGUUCCCAGGGCUGUAAUCACUCUGGGAAAUGUGAACGGCUGCCCUGGGUCCCUGGGCAUACAAAUACAUUUCCACAGAGAAAUGGCUGAGAUUCCUCAACACCCUUUUAGAUUUAUGUUCCCCCAGUGCUGUCUGGAGUGGCUGCUGAGCAGAUGCUUAUCAUAAAAUAUGGUGAGUGGAAAUACCUUGUCCUGGUCCUUGUGAGGGUGACUUGCAGCAGAGGAUUUAAAGCUGAAAAAGCAAAUGGUGUCCAAGUGUUUUUAAGAGGAGAUUCUUUCCUGCCAUUCCUGCACUGAGGUUGUACAUGAAAAAGCAGUUUUCAUUUUCAGUCCAUAUUGGGUAAUGUCUCCCCUCUGCCAUAGUCUGUUACUUCAGACUUUGAAUCCAGUGACACAGUAAGGAUUUUCACUAUUGCAACAAAACACUGGAUUUUAAGAUAAAAAAUAGCCAAAAAAGGAAGGUUUCCUUUAAACAUAUCAAUAAGUCAUCCUAGCAAUGAGGGUUUACUUAAACUGCAAGUUUGUCCUUCCAAAUAAAUAAAUACAUAACUGUGA